CCCUUAGAUGUUCGGGGCCGCACGCGCGCUACACUGAAGGACUCAGCGUGUCUCUCCCCCUAUCCCGAAAGGGAUGGGCAACCCGUUGAACCUCCUUCGUGCUAGGGAUUGGGGUUUGCAAUUAUCCCCCAUGAACGAGGAAUUCCCAGUAAGCGCGAGUCAUCAGCUCGCGUUGAUUACGUCCCUGCCCUUUGUACACACCGCCCGUCGCUACUACCGAUUGGAUGGUUUAGUGAGACCCUCGGAUCGGUCCCGACUCGGGGUGGGCUUCUGCCCCGGUCGUGGUUUCGCCGAGAAGACGGUCAAACUUGACUAUCUAGAGGAUGUAAAAGUCGUAACA
rnacentral:rRNA from 1 species